AUUGAACGCUGGCGGCAUGCUUUACACAUGCAAGUCGAACGGUAACAGGGAGCUUGCUCCGCUGACGAGUGGCGAACGGGUGAGUAAUGCGUCGGAACGUGCCGAGUAGUGGGGGAUAACGCAUCGAAAGGUGUGCUAAUACCGCAUACGAACUGAGGUUGAAAGUGGGGGACCUUCGGGCCUUCCGAUAUUCGAGCGGCCGACGUCUGAUUAGCUAGUUGGUGAGGUAAAGGCUCACCAAGGCGACGAUCAGUAGCGGGUCUGAGAGGAUGAUCCGCCACACUGGGACUGAGACACGGCCCAGACUCCUACGGGAGGCAGCAGUGGGGAAUUUUGGACAAUGGGCGCAAGCCUGAUCCAGCCAUGCCGCGUGUCUGAAGAAGGCCUUCGGGUUGUAAAGGACUUUUGUCCGGGAGCAAAUGCUGGUGGCUAACAUCCACCGGAGCUGAGAGUACCGGAAGAAUAAGCACCGGCUAACUACGUGCCAGCCGCCGCGGUAAGAC
rnacentral:rRNA from 1 species